rnacentral:rRNA from 1 species
GGGGGAUAGCCCGGGGAAACCCGGAUUAAUACCGCAUAAGAUAGUUGGAUGGCAUCAUUUGACUAUGAAACAUUUAUGGCUGAAAGAAGGGCAUGCGUAAGAUUAGUUAGUUGGUAAGGUAACGGCUUACCAAGACAGUGAUCUUUAGGGGUUCUGAGAGGAAGAUCCCCCACACUGGUACUGAGACAGGGACCAGACUCCUACGGGAGGCAGCAGUAGGGAAUAUUGGGCAAUGCACGCAAGUGUGACCCAGCCAUGCCGCGUGCAGGAAGAAGGCCUUCUGGGUUGUAAACUGCUUUUGCAAGCCAACAAAACGCUGCCUGCGGGCAGCCUUGAGGGUAGCUUGAGAAUAAGCACCGGCUAACUCCGUGCCAGCAGCCGCGGUAAUACGGAGGGUGCAAGCGUUGUCCGGAUUUAUUGGGUUUAAAGGGUGCGUAGGCGGGAGAUUAAGUCAGGGGUGAAAGACGAUUGCUCAACGAUCGCAGUGCCUUUGAUACUGAUUUUCUUGAGUGCAGAUGAGGAUAGCGGAAUGGGUGGUGUAGCGGUGAA